AUAACAAAAACAUUUCUGGGAA
rnacentral:snRNA from 1 species